rnacentral:rRNA from 1 species
CCUACGGGAGGCAGCAGUGAGGAAUAUUGGUCAAUGGCCGCAGGGCUGAACCAGCCAAGUCGCGUGAGGGAUGACGGUCCUAUGGAUUGUAAACCUCUUUUGACAGGGAGCAAAGGGCGCCACGUGUGGCGCUUUGCGAGUACCUGAAGAAAAAGCAUCGGCUAACUCCGUGCCAGCAGCCGCGGUAAUACGGAGGAUGCGAGCGUUAUCCGGAUUUAUUGGGUUUAAAGGGUGCGCAGGCGGAAUGUCAAGUCAGCGGUAAAAUUUCGGGGCUCAACCCCGUCGUGCCGUUGAAACUGGCGUUCUUGAGUGAGCGAGAAGUAUGCGGAAUGCGUGGUGUAGCGGUGAAAUGCAUAGAUAUCACGCAGAACUCCGAUUGCGAAGGCAGCAUACCGGCGCUCAACUGACGCUCAUGCACGAAAGCGUGGGUAUCGAACAGGAUUAGAUACCCCGGUAGUC